ACGGGUGAGUAACGCGUGGGAAUCUACCCAUCUCUACGGAAUAACGCAUGGAAACGUGUGCUAAUACCGUAUACGUCCUUCGGGAGAAAGAUUUAUCGGAGAUGGAUGAGCCCGCGUUGGAUUAGCUAGUUGGUGGGGUAAAGGCCUACCAAGGCGACGAUCCAUAGCUGGUCUGAGAGGAUGAUCAGCCACACUGGGACUGAGACACGGCCCAGACUCCUACGGGAGGCAGCAGUGGGGAAUAUUGGACAAUGGGCGCAAGCCUGAUCCAGCCAUGCCGCGUGAGUGAUGAAGGCCCUAGGGUUGUAAAGCUCUUUCACCGGUGAAGAUAAUGACGGUAACCGGAGAAGAAGCCCCGGCUAACUUCGUGCCAGCAGCCGCGGUAAUACGAAGGGGGCUAGCGUUGUUCGGAUUUACUGGCGUAAAGCGCACGUAGGCGGACUAUUAAGUCAGGGGUGAAAUCCCGGGGCUCAACCCCGGAACUGCCUUUGAUACUGGUAGUCUUGAGUUCGAGAGAGGUGAGUGGAAUUCCGAGUGUAGAGGUGAAAUUCGUAGA
rnacentral:rRNA from 1 species